UACUGUCCAAAGUGGUGCGGAUCUGAUC
rnacentral:sRNA from 1 species